CCUCACCAUGUCUCUCUCUCUCUCUCUCUUUCACACACACACAGACAGAGAGAGAGAGACACUGAAUACAACUGACUCCACACUUCACAAACAGAAUGUAUCAUGUGAGAUAAAUGGCAUGCGAACAAACUGGUAUCUGAUUGAUAUUUUAAGAGAGAAGCUUUCAUCUCCAGACAGAGCUGGUCUGACACAGAGAAAGACAGAGAUAGACAGUGACAGUGAUAUAGAUAUAGAGACACGGAAAGACGGAGAGAGACGACAGACAAAGUGAUCCAGAGAGACGACAAAGUGAUCCAGAGAGACGACAGAGAGUGAUCCAGAGAGACGACAGACAAAGUGAUCCAGAGAGACGACAGACAAAGUGAUCCAGAGAGACGACAGACAAAGUGAUCCAGAGAGACGACAGACAAAGUGAUCCAGUGAGCCGACAGAGAGUGAUCCAGAGAGACGACAGACAAAGUGAUCCAGAGAGACGACAGACAAAGUGAUCCAGAGAGACGACAGACAAAGUGAUCCAGAGAGACGACAGAGAGUGAUCCAGAGAGACGACAAUGUGAUCCAGAGAGACGACAGAGAGUGAUCCAGAGAGACGACAGAGAGUGAUCCAGAGAGACGACAGACAAAGUGAUCCAGAGACGACAGACAAAGUGAUCCAGUGAGACGACAGACAAAGUGAUCCAGAGAGACGACAGACAAAGUGAUCCAGAGAGACGACAGAGAGUGAUCCAGAGAGACGACAAAGUGAUCCAGAGAGACGACAGAGAGUGAUCCAGAGAGACGACAGAGAGUGAUCCAGAGAGACGACAGACAAAGUGAUCCAGAGACGACAGACAAAGUGAUCCAGUGAGACGACAGACAAAGUGAUCCAGAGAGAGGGUCAUAGAACAGAGUGACAGAAUAAGACACCAGCUGUUAUAUCUAACUGAAGAUUUAAUCACAACUGGAUCCGGCCUCUAUCACUAAUCCAGGCCCUUAGAAGUGACCCCAGCACAGGAGGUUGGUGCCACCUUAAUUGGGUAGGACUGUCUCUUGGUAACGGCAGGAGCGGAAUCAGUGGAAUGGUAUCAAACACAUCAAGGUGCAAAAUGAGAGUGAGAGAGAUAUUACAGGAUUAUGGGUACUAAGCCAGUCUACGUCAUGGAUUUUUGGCUACUUCUGGGCUACGGCACCCAAUAUCAUAAACUGAGCACUCCAGAUUGUUCACUUUGUCUGCUUUAUGUAGUCAGACAUUACCGCCACACUAAUACAUAGAAGAGGGGAGGGAAAAGAGGGCAAUAGUAAUGCAAAUCUGGUUCUGCUUAAGCCAGCUCUAUAGCCCUAUAUUCAAACAUGACAAUGACAGAGGAGUGGGCUAAAUCAGAAACACUAGCAUCCAGGCUAGGGAUAUGUUAACUAUUAGCAGAAACAGACUAGCAUCUAGGCUAGGGAUAUGCUAACUAUUAGCAGAAACAGACUGGCAUCCAGGCUAGGGAUAUGUUAACUAUUAGUAGAAACAGACUGGCAUCCAGGCUAGGGAUAUGCUAACUAUUAGCAGAAACAGAGUGGCAUACAGGCUAGGAAUAUGCUAACUAUUAGCAGAAACAGACUGGCAUCCAGGCUAGGGAUAUGCCAAAUAUUAGCAGAAACAGAGUGGCAUCCAGGCUAGGGAUAUGUUAACUAUUAGCAGAAACAGACUAGCAUCUAAGCUAGGGAUAUGCUAACUAUUAGCAGAAACAGAGUGGCAUACAGGCUAGGAAUAUGCUAACUAUUAGCAGAAACCGACUGGCAUCCAGGCUAGGGAUAUGCCAAAUAUUAGCAGAAACAGACUGGCAUCCAGGCUAGGGAUAUGCUAACUAUUAGCAGAAACAGACUAGCAUCUAGGCUAGGGAUAUGCUAACUAUUAGCAGAAACAGACUGGCAUCCAGGCUAGGGAUAUGCUAACUAUUAGCAGAAACAGACUGGCAUCUAGGCUAGGGAUAUGCUAACUAUUAGCAGAAACAGAGUGGCAUACAGGCUAGGGAUAUGUUAACUAUUAGCAGAAACAGACUAGCAUCUAAGCUAGGGAUAUGCUAACUAUUAGCAGAAACAGACUGGGAUACGGGCUAGGGAUAUGCUAACUAUUAGCAGAAACAGAGUGGCAUACAGGCUACGAAUAUGCUAACUAUUAGCAGAAACAGACUGGCAUCCAGGCUAGGGAUAUGCCAAAUAUUAGCAGAAACAGACUGGCAUCCAGGCUAGGGAUAUGCCAAAUAUUAGCAGAAACAGAGUGGCAUACAGGCUAGGGAUAUGUUAACUAUUAGCAGAAACAGAGUGGCAUACAGGCUAGGAAUAUGCUAACUAUUAGCAGAAACAGACUGGCAUCCAGGCUAGGGAUAUGCCAAAUAUUAGCAGAAACAGACUGGCAUCCAGGCUAGGGAUAUGCUAACUAUUAGCAGAAACAGAGUGGCAUACAGGCUAGGGAUAUGCUAACUAUUAGCAGAAACAGACUGGCAUCCAGGCUAGGGAUAUGCCAAAUAUUAGCAGAAACAGACUAGCAUCUAGGCUAGGGAUAUGCUAACUAUUAGCAGAAACAGACUGGCAUCCAGGCUAGGGAUAUGCUAACUAUUAGCAGAAACAGACUGGCAUCUAGGCUAGGGAUAUGCUAACUAUUAGCAGAAACAGAGUGGCAUACAGGCUAGGGAUAUGCUAACUAUUAGCAGAAACAGACUGGCAUCCAGGCUAGGGAUAUGCUAACUAUUAUCAGAAACAGAGUGGCAUACAGGCUAGGAAUAUGCUAACUAUUAGCAGAAACAGACUGGCAUCCAGGCUAGGGAUAUGCCAAAUAUUAGCAGAAACAGACUAGCAUCUAGGCUAGGGAUAUGCCAAAUAUUAGCAGAAACAGAGUGGCAUACAGGCUAGGGAUAUGCCAAAUAUUAGCAGAAACAGAGUGGCAUACAGGCUAGGAAUAUGCUAACUAUUAGCAGAAACAGACUAGCAUCUAGGCUAGGGAUAUGCUAACUAUUAGCAGAAACAGACUGGCAUCCAGGCUAGGGAUAUGCUAACUGUUAGCAGAAACAGACUGGCAUCUAGGCUAGGGAUAUGCUAACUAUUAGCAGAAACAGACUAGCAUCUAGGUUAGGGAUAUGCUAACUAUUAGCAGAAACAGACUGGCAUCUAGGCUAGGGAUAUGCUAACUAUUAGCAGAAACAGACUGGCAUCCAGGCUAGGGAUAUGCCAAAUAUUAGCAGAAACAGAGUGGCAUACAGGCUAGGGAUAUGCCAAAUAUUAGCAGAAACAGAGUGGCAUACAGGCUAGGAAUAUGCUAACUAUUAGCAGAAACAGACUGGCAUUCAGGCUAGGAACAUGCUAACUAUUAGUCAACCCUCAUCACAGCCUGUUUGAUGCUCUAGUGCAGGGGUAUUCAAUUCUGACCUUACGAGCUCUAGAACCUGCUGGUUUUCUGUUCUAGCCGAUAAUUAAUUGCACCCACCUCGUAUCCCAGGUCUAAAUCAGGCCCAGAUUAGAGAAGAACAAUGAAAAAACUCAGUGGAACUCAUUUCGAGGUGGAGAGUUGAGGGCUCGAAUGGUUUUUACAUUUAAUGGAAUACUUUGUCGGUCAAAAGAGUUGAGAAAGAGAGUCCUGUAUAGACCACACCAAGAGAGUCCUGUAUAGACUAGAGCUGACUCUCUCUCCUCUGCGUCAUGGAGGCUCUCUGCACUGCCAGAGCUGACUCUCUCUCCUCUGUGUCACGGAGGCUCUCUGCACUGCAAGAAGGGAUACAGGUCUGCACUGCCAGAGCUGACUCUCUCUCCUCUGUGUCACGGAGGCUCUCUGCACUGCAAGAAGGGAUACAGGUCUGCACUGCCAGAGCUGACUCUCUCUCCUCUGUGUCACAGAGGCUCUCCUCACUGCCAGAGCUGACUCUCUCUCCUCUGUGUCGCGGAGGCUCUCUGCACUGCCAGAGCUGACUCUCUCUCCUCUGUGUCACAGAGGCUCUCCUCACUGCCAGAGCUGACUCUCUCUCCUCUGUGUCACGGAGGCUCUCUGCACUGCCAGAGCUGACUCUCUCUCCUCUGUUCUCAUCCUCCUAGAUCUAUACACUGCCUUCGACACAUCAGGUCCUCCUCUCCACCCUCUCAGGGCUGGGCAUCUCAGGCGCUGCACACUCUUGGACUGCAUCCUACCUGGCAGGCCGCUCCUACCGUGACGUGGAGAGGAUCUGUGUCUGCACUACGUACUCUCACUACUGGUGUCCGCUGGUUCUAGUCUCUCUCCUCUUCCCUCUAUAUACCAAGUCAUAUCCUCACAUUGUCUCUCCUAUCAUUUCUGUGAGGAUGACAAUCAACUACUUUUCUCCUUCCCUCCUUCUGACACCCAGGUGGCGACACGCAUCUCUGCGUGCCUGGCAGAUAACUCAACUUGGAUGUCGGAACUACCGCAACUCGUUGUUGGCUGGGUUCUCCUCUUGUGCCAUCAAACCCCUGCAGCCCGCCUGGUUUUCAACCUUCCCAAGUUCUCCCAUGUCACCCCACUCCUCUGUACAACCACUGGCUUCCAGUCGAAGCUUGCAUCCACUACAAGACCAUGGUGCUUACUGACGGAACAGCAAGAGGAAUUGCCCCUCCCUACCGUCAGGCUAUGAUCAAACUCCACACCCCAACCCGAGCACUCUGUUCUGCCACCUCAGGUCUCUUGUCUGUGAUAUGUGGUUGUUCUACCUAGCUCUCUUAAGAUGAAUGCAUUAACUGUAAGUCGCUCUGGAUAAGAGAAUCUACUAAAGGACAAAAAAUGUCAAAUGUGGAAUGUUAAUUAAUGAGGGUGUUAUUACCAAAGAAGAGAACCCUGUCUCUGGUGUUCAGUGACAUUGGUUUUAAUACAUUUGGCCUUAACAUGGAGGACAUUUCAGGAAUAAUUAGGAACAGACUUGGUUCUGUUUUUGAUAUAGACAUGGAUUCUUUCUUGCCAACAAAUUUGGUGUAGUUAUUUUCAUAUCAAAGGUAUGUAAUCUCAUGUCCUUGCCAUUACAGCUUGUUGUAGGCUGCAAAACACAAGUGGUGUGUUUGUAAAGGCACAGAUAAUACGCCCAUGCCCUGACGACUGCUCAGAGCAUUGGAAUGUUGUUGCCAGUCAAAACAAAAACACUGGACUAGGCCUACCAAAAAUU
ensembl:lncRNA